AUUGAACGCUGGCGGCAUGCUUUACACAUGCAAGUCGAACGGUAGAGGGGGCAACCCCUUGAGAGUGGCGAACGGGUGAGUAAUGCAUCGGAACGUGCCCAGUCGUGGGGGAUAACGCAGCGAAAGCUGUGCUAAUACCGCAUACGAUCUCUGGAUGAAAGCGGGGGACCGAAAGGCCUCGCGCGAUUGGAGCGGCCGAUGUCAGAUUAGGUAGUUGGUGGGGUAAAGGCCUACCAAGCCAACGAUCUGUAGCUGGUCUGAGAGGACGACCAGCCACACUGGGACUGAGACACGGCCCAGACUCCUACGGGAGGCAGCAGUGGGGAAUUUUGGACAAUGGGCGCAAGCCUGAUCCAGCAAUGCCGCGUGCAGGAAGAAGGCCUUCGGGUUGUAAACUGCUUUUGUACGGAGCGAAAAGGUCUGGGUUAAUACCCCGGACACAUGACGGUACCGUAAGAAUAAGCACCGGCUAACUACGUGCCAGCCGCCGCCGUAA
rnacentral:rRNA from 1 species